CCUACGGGCGGCUGCAGUGGGGAAUAUUGGACAAUGGGCGAAAGCCUGAUCCAGCCAUGCCGCGUGUGUGAAGAAGGCCUUCGGGUUGUAAAGCACUUUCAGUGGGGAAGAAAGCCUUGGGGCUAAUACCCUCGAGGAAGGACAUCACCCACAGAAGAAGCACCGGCUAACUCCGUGCCAGCAGCCGCGGUAAUACGGAGGGUGCGAGCGUUAAUCGGAAUUACUGGGCGUAAAGCGCGCGUAGGCGGUCUGAUAAGCCGGUUGUGAAAGCCCCGGGCUCAACCUGGGAACGGCAUCCGGAACUGUCAGGCUAGAGUGCAGGAGAGGAAGGUAGAAUUCCCGGUGUAGCGGUGAAAUGCGUAGAGAUCGGGAGGAAUACCAGUGGCGAAGGCGGCCUUCUGGACUGACACUGACGCUGAGGUGCGAAAGCGUGGGUAGCAAACAGGAUUAGCACCCGAGUAGUC
rnacentral:rRNA from 1 species